UACGGAGGGUGCAAGCGUUAUCCGGAUUCACUGGGUUUAAAGGGUGCGUAGGUGGGUUGGUAAGUCAGUGGUGAAAUCUCCGAGCUUAACUUGGAAACUGCCAUUGAUACUAUCAGUCUUGAAUAUUGUGGAGGUCAGCGGAAUAUGUCAUGUAGCGGUGAAAUGCGUAGAUAUCAUUUGGAACGCCAAUGGUGAAAACAGGUAGCUGGGAGUGUGCUGACGCUGAGACACGAAAGCCAGGGGAGCGAACGGG
rnacentral:rRNA from 1 species